rnacentral:rRNA from 1 species
UACGUAGGCAGCAAGCGUUGUUCGGAAUUACUGGGCGUAAAGCGCGUGUAGGCGGCCCUGUAAGUCGGGUGUGAAAUCCCACGGCUCAACCGUGGAAGUGCACUCGAAACUACAGGGCUAGAGUCCUGGAGAGGAAGGUGGAAUGCUUGGUGUAGAGGUGAAAUUCGUAGAUAUCAAGCGGAACACCGGUGGCGAAGGCGGCCUUCUGGACAGUGACUGACGCUGAGACGCGAAAGCGUGGGGAGCAAACAGG